GAACGCCGUGUGCAGGGAAACUUGCAUGCACGGUGUGGGUCGGGGGAAAACCUGGAGAUAACAUCAAAGGGUUACCUAUCGACAU
rnacentral:ncRNA from 1 species